rnacentral:misc_RNA from 1 species
GAUGAAGAACGCAGCGAAAUGCGAUAAGUAGUGUGAAUUGCAGAAUUCAGUGAAUCAUCGAAUCUUUGAACGCACAUUGCGCCCUUUGGUAUUCCAAAGGGCAUGCCUGUUCGAGCGUCAUUACAACCCUCAAGCUCUGCUUGGUAUUGGGCCCCGCCAGUUCUGGCGGGCCCUAAAGUCAGUGGCGGUGCCUUCCGGCUCCGAGCGUAGUAAUUCUUCUCGCUCUGGAGACCCGGUUGUGUGCUUGCCAACAACCCCCAAUUUUUUAAGGUUGACCUCGGAUCAGGUAGGGAUACCCGCUGAACUUAAGCAUAUCAAUAAGCGGAGGA